AUUGAACGCUGGCGGCAUGCCUUACACAUGCAAGUCGAACGGCAGCACGGGAGCAAUCCUGGUGGCGAGUGGCGAACGGGUGAGUAAAGUAUCGGAACGUGCCCAGUCGUGGGGGAUAACGUAGCGAAAGUUACGCUAAUACCGCAUACGCACUAUGGAUGAAAGCGGGGGAUGGCAAGCACUUGCGCGAUUGGAGCGGCCGAUAUCAGAUUAGGUAGUUGGUGGGGUAAAGGCUCACCAAGCUGACGACAGGUAGCUGGUCUGAGAGGACGACCAGCCACACUGGGACUGGGACACGGCCCAGACUCCUACGGGAGGCAGCAGUGGGGAAUUGUGGACAAUGGGCGAAAGCCGGAUCCAGCCAUGCCGCGUGCAGGAUGAAGGCCUUCGGGUUGUAAACUGCUUUUGUACGGAACGAAAAGGUUUGGCCUAAUAAGCUGAGCUCAUGACGGUACCGUAAGAAUAAGCACCGGCUAACUACGUGCCAGCAGCCGCGGUAA
rnacentral:rRNA from 1 species